GCUACCUGAAGCUGAAGCGGCAGAGCCCCCCUGACCACGAGGAGUGUGUGAAGAGGAAGCAGCGGUACGAGGUGGAUUACAACCUGGAGCCCUUCGCGGGCCUCACCCCAGAGUACAUGGAAAUGAUCAUCCAGUUUGGCUUCGUCACCCUGUUUGUCGCCUCCUUCCCCCUGGCCCCACUGUUUGCGCUGCUGAACAACAUCAUCGAGAUCCGCCUGGACGCCAAAAAGUUUGUCACUGAGCUCCGAAGGCCGGUAGCUGUCAGAGCCAAAGACAUCGG
rnacentral:lncRNA from 1 species